rnacentral:rRNA from 1 species
UACGGAGGGUGCAAGCGUUAUCCGGAUUCACUGGGUUUAAAGGGUGCGUAGGAGGGCAGGUAAGUCAGUGGUGAAAUCCCCAAGCUUAACUUGGGAACUGCCGUUGAUACUAUCUGUCUUGAAUACCGUGGAGGUGAGCGGAAUAUGUCAUGUAGCGGUGAAAUGCUUAGAUAUGACAUAGAACACCAAUUGCGAAGGCAGCUCGCUACACGAAUAUUGACUCUGAGGCACGAAAGCGUGGGGAGCAAACAGG